GACGAACGCUGGCGGCGUGCCUAACACAUGCAAGUCAACUUGACUGAAGGAGCAAUCUGACAGUAGAGUGGCGCAAGGGUGCGUAACGCGUAAGUAACUUGCCCAAGGUAAGGAAUAACGUCGAGAAAUCGGCGCUAAUACCUCAUAAUGCAGCGGAUCCGCAUGGAUAUGUUGUUAAAGGUUUACCGCCUUGGGAUAGGCUUGCGUCUGAUUAGCUAGUUGGUGUGGUAACGGCACACCAAGGCUACGAUCAGUAACUGGUCUGAGAGGAUGAUCAGUCACACUGGAACUGAGACACGGUCCAGACUCCUACGGGAGGCAGCAGUGAGGAAUAUUGGGCAAUGCUCGAAAGAGUGACCCAGCAACGCCGCGUGGAGGAUGAAGGUAUUCUAUAUCGUAAACUCCUGUGAGAGCAGACGAAAGAACAGAUUAUUAAUACUGGAUGACUGUAUGCUCAGAGGAAG
rnacentral:rRNA from 1 species